GCUGGGAAGGCCUGACAGGCCACUUUCCACCCCCAUCCUCGGGGCCCUGCAUGGCCAGUGCCGGCUGUGGCUGACCGUCUCCUUUGCUUCUGCCGAGGGUGACUCUGGGCAGUUUUCCCCAGGACUCCCCGUGGCUGAAGGCGCCCUUGGUGGUGCCCCCCUGCCUGGCCCCCUCUGCUUCCCUGUUCUGCUUCUCCCACACUCUGACCAGUCUCCUGGGGUCACUUCCUGAAUACGUCCUUGCACACAACUCCUGGCUUCAGAAUCUACGGCUCCAUUUUACAGAUGAGGAAACUGAGGCUCACAGUGAUGAAGUCGGCAGUGCAAGGUCACUUGGCCGUGGAAAGCCAUGCUGGGAGGCAAGCUCGAGUCUGGGAGCCCCGGAAUUUUAUUUCACGCAGUAUUCCCCGUGCUUGUUCUGGGAGUGUUAAUUCAUGUUCCCUCAAAAUAAGAGUUUCGUGUUCAGGUCUGAUGCCAACCGGCAGUCCUGCCAGCAGUGACCUGCAAUUCCACUGGAUGUGGCAGGCAGGAUCUGUUUCCCUGGCCAUUUUUUGGAGAAGGUCCAGCUGAGAGGCUCAGACAGCCAUAAUGGAUGGGAUCUUUUUAGAGAAUGCCAUGGUUUCAACCCAAGAAGACAGCAGGGCCAUCAGCAGAAGUGAGACAAGGAGCUGGCUGGAAAGUGAAGAUCACGGGCAGAAGGCAGAGGCGUGGCAGGUGCCCUGAGUGGCAGAGGACUACGGAGGGCAAGAACCCAUAUGAGAGAUGUGGACUCGGCCAGCAAUGGCGCAGGGCCCUAGAAGGUCCAUAUUCUGCCAUCUGCACACCGGAGGCCCAGGAAGCCGUGGUGUGGGUCAGUCCAAGCCUGAAGGCAGAGAACCAGGAGCGCUGAUGGUAUACGUCCCCACCUGAAGGCAGGAGAAGAUAGAUGUCCCAGCUCAAGCAGUCAGACAGAGAGUGAAGUCUCUGUUGCCCAGUCUUUUGUUCUAUUCAGGCCCAAAUGGAUUGGAUGCGGCCCACCCACACUGCGGAAGCCAUCUGCUUUUCUGAGUCCAUAGAUUCAAAUACUAAUCUCAUCUGAAACACCCUCAUAGAAAUACCCAGACCAUGUUUAGCCAAAUAUCUGGGUACCCUGUGGCCCAGUCAAGGUGACACAUACAAUUACUCAUCAUGAGACUCGUGGGAAAGCUGUGUAAAUCAUGAGACAUCACUUUUGUUGGCCAGAGAGCCAGAAGAGCCACUGGGGAGGGAGGCUGAGGACCCUCAUGUGCCCCAGGAACAUGCAGAAGACCAGGGGGAGGGCAGCCCUCCGCCUGGGAGGAGUCUGAUCACGAAAUCAGGGCAAGGGCCCUCGGCAAUUUGCUCAGAAAUUUGCACUGUGGGCAGGGAGGCAGCCUUGCCAGAAGCCUUUGCCACGGCCACCUGGCCUCAUGGGAAGCCUGUCCAUGUAGCUACUCAUCCCUGAGCUGACCGUGACUGAGCCUGCUCAGUUGUGCUGGGGCCCAAGAGGCUGCUUCGGUGAAAACAGAGAACCAAGCUUUGCACAUCUUUGCUUUGUAACUAGAGGGACUGUGUAUCCUCAGAGAUUUAUGUUUGAAGCCCUUCUCUUGGCGCGUUUUCCUGCUGUGUGGCUGCCGUCUCCUCAGCUAAUUCUCCCAAACCCUCCUCAUCUCUCUUGCCGGCUUCUCCGUGCUCCUCUCUUGCUUGGGAGCGGACGAGUGAGCUUUGAUAUCCACUCUCACAGCUGGGAUUCAGGCCACUUCGCAGACGAGGGGCAAACCUGUCAUGAAGUCCUUAGCUCUGAGCCUUGGAGAGUUUAAGGGUAAG